rnacentral:rRNA from 1 species
UACGUAUGGUGCAAGCGUUGUCCGGAAUUAUUGGGCGUAAAGAGUACGUAGGCGGUCUGUUAAGCGCAAGGUGAAAGGCAUAGGCUCAACCAAUGUGAGCCUUGCGAACUGGCAGACUUGAGUGCAGGAGAGGAAAGCGGAAUUCCUAGUGUAGCGGUGAAAUGCGUAGAUAUUAGGAGGAACACCGGUGGCGAAGGCGGCUUUCUGGACUGAAACUGACGCUGAGGUACGAAAGCGUGGGGAGCAAACAGG